CCGCCCAGUCCUCUGCUCCUUGCUUCUUCCUUCUCUCUCGCACUUGCCGUGGAGGCCUCAUCCUAUUUUUUUCGUUCUUCAGAAGUUUAGAGCGUCCCUAUCUCCUUCCCUCUGCUCUGAUUUUUCCAGCAGCUGGUUUCCCCGGAUAUUCUUCCACGCUGCGCCGAUUAGCACCUGGAUAUGUUCUCCAGCGCACAGCCUUAUCCUGCAGCCGCCCUCGCCUGAUUCUUUCCCAGCCGCCGCUCUGGGCGAUUAAAAAUCCUGCUCGCCGGCCGGAUCUCCGGCGUCGUCUGCCCCUGCUUCCCUUGGCGUUCUUCCCCCAGUCGUCUCCUUCCUCUGCUCGUCGCUAAAAUUCGCUGGCCGCGAAUGCCCAUGGCGCACCCCCAGUCCCUGCUUUCUCUUUGUCUCUCUCUUAUCCAUGGACGCGCGUUGCCGGAGCUCCCUGCUCGUCGCGCGCCCUGCUCGCUCAUGGCGCUGGCUGCUGCUCUGCGGCUCCCAGCCGAACGCCCUCUGCCCCAGCCGCGUCCGGCCAGGUGUUUCUGCGUCCCGCUCGCCCCAGCAGCAGCUCGGUCUUGUCCCCUGCCAUGGUGCCAGCAACUGUGCCCCCAGCUCUCUCUCACGCCGCACUUCUCUGCUUCAGCCGGUCGAGCUCUCUCGCCAAGGCCCCAGCCGAGCUCGUCCCUGUGCGCCGGGGUCGCGUGCAGCUCGCCCAGCUCGGAGUUUCCCCUGUCCAUCUCGCCACGCUCAGUCUCUAGCUCCCUGUGCGCGCGUCGAGUUCCCGUACCGAAUUCAGCGUACCGAAUUCAGCCCCAUGUUGACGUGUCCCUGUUCCAGCUUGCCGUGCCGCGUCGUCAUCGCUUCCUGUCGCGAGCUCGAUUCCCGUUGUCAUCGAGUUUCACGCUUGCUCGCGUUUGUCGUCGAGCUGUUGAACCCCCUCCCUUGCUCGUGACUCCAUCGUCGCGUCGUGUGUGCAGCUCUAUAUAUGCCACCCUCCUAUAUCGUCGUCGAAGCUGUCAUCCCCUGCUCGACCCCUACCUCACUAGCUCACUCCAAACACGAUCUCGUCAUCGUUCCGUGAGUCAUCAAGAAAUCUCGAAAAUUGGGUGAAGACGAAGCUAGCAGCAUUGUAUCUCCCAAGUGCUCGACACAAGAGCUGAACCAGAAUCCUUGCCGUGUUCGGAUAGCGCGUCAGAUUUAGAAUGGUACGUUAAUUAAUCACGUGAUACGGAAGACGAUCCAAGUCGACCCCAAGUGCGGCCGGACUACUCCGCCUGAAGAUACUGAUGGACGAACCUGCCUGAUCAAGUGCUAGGAUAAGGAUGAUCGUCAAGUGGUCGCCUAACAACACUAACCUAGUGUUACCC